rnacentral:lncRNA from 1 species
UAUCGUGAGUUUCGACUAGAUGGCAGGUCAUGGAUAAAUCGUCAAAAGUCAUCAUCAGUCAUAUAAUAGAUUUGAUCAGCUCAAGCUCAAUUGUGAUCCUUAUGGAAACUCUUUUCCAUCAACCAUACUGCUGUGGCCACAGACUCUCGAACUUAGCCUCUCAAAUUUUAUAAGACUUUUCUUUUCUAUCAAGAUCAAUAGAUUCUAUCUUGAUGUGCACUCUACUCCUAUAGUGAACCAACUAUCACCAACAUCUAC